CCUACGGGAGGCAGCAGUGGGGAAUUUUGGACAAUGGGCGCAAGCCUGAUCCAGCCAUGCCGCGUGCAGGAUGAAGGCCUUCGGGUUGUAAACUGCUUUUGUACGGAACGAAAAGGUUCUUUCUAAUAAAGAGAGCUCAUGACGGUACCGUAAGAAUAAGCACCGGCUAACUACGUGCCAGCAGCCGCGGUAAUACGUAGGGUGCAAGCGUUAAUCGGAAUUACUGGGCGUAAAGCGUGCGCAGGCGGUUAUGUAAGACAGUUGUGAAAUCCCCGGGCUCAACCUGGGAACUGCAUCUGUGACUGCAUAGCUAGAGUACGGUAGAGGGGGAUGGAAUUCCGCGUGUAGCAGUGAAAUGCGUAGAUAUGCGGAGGAACACCGAUGGCGAAGGCAAUCCCCUGGACCUGUACUGACGCUCAUGCACGAAAGCGUGGGGAGCAAACAGGAUUAGAUACCCUGGUAGUCCACGCCCUAAACGAUGUCAACUGGUUNUUGGGUCUUCACUGACUCAGUACGAAGCUAACGCGUGAAGUUGACCGCCUGGGGGAGACGGCGCGAGUAGUAACGUUAAAGUAAGUUAGUACGGCGUGAGACGUAGACCGACGGACGACGACGAGGGAGGAGG
rnacentral:rRNA from 1 species